rnacentral:tRNA from 1 species
GGGAGCAUAACUCAGUGGUAGAGUGCCACCUUGACACGGUGGAAGUCAUCAGUUCAACUCUGAUUGUUCCCACC